CGUCAGGGACGACAGACAGGAUUCCUCACCAGAGGGAGAAUUGCGAUGUUUUUCGAUUCUCUUGAAAAAACUAAAAAAGACAUGGCCUUUAAAUUGUUCUUAUUUUUCAACGCGUUAAUUGUUAUGGGACAUCUAAAAUUACUUGAUUUCUUUUAUAGACAAAGUAGACUCUGAAUGAAGUUGAACCUGUGCCACCAUCUCCACAUGAAUGAGUUCAUUUGCUGCACAACCAACCAACCAACCACACACAGCAAACACCACAAUAAUUUGCAACCUUUGGGACAAAACAACCCAGAAGUUCUAAACCCUUAAUUGACCCGGCACUACCCCAUUUUUUAAAUAACUACAAUAUUUAGGAAAAUUGUUCAAAGACAUAAAUUCGUUGGCAAACAAACCAUGAACUUUACUGAUA